CCAAAGUGCUCCAUAUAGGAGCUGUGGUAGGUGCGUAAUGUUCCCUACUAGAAAGGAGAGGGCAAGGCUGGUGCCAGCCGCCGCGGUAAAACCAGCUCUUCAAGUGGUCGGGAUAAUUAUUGGGCUUAAAGUGUCCGUAGCUGGUAAGGUAAGUUCCUGGUAAAAUUGGGCAGCUUAACUGUCCUUAUGCUAGGAAUACUGCUUUACUAGAGGGCGGGAGAGGUCUGAGGUACUACAGGGGUAGGAGUGAAAUCUUAUAAUCCUUGUAGGACCACCAGUGGCGAAGGCGUCAGACUGGAACGCGCCUGACGGUGAGGGACGAAAGCCAGGGGAGCGAACCGGAUUAGAUACCCGGGUAGUCCUGGCCGUAAACGAUGCACACUAGAUGAUGGUGCGGCCAUGAGCCGUAUCAGUGUCGUAGGGAAACCGUUAAGUGUGCCGCCUGGGAAGUACGGUCGCAAGGCUUAAACUUAAAGGAAUUGGCGGGGGAGCACCACAAGGGGUGAAGCCUGCGGUUCAAUUGGACUCAACGCCGGGCAACUUACCAGGGGAGACAGCAGAAUGAAGGUCAGGUUGACGACCUUACCUAACAAGCUGAGAGGAGGUGCAUGGCCGUCGCCAGUUCGUGCUGUGAGGUAUCCUGUUAAGUCAGGCAACGAACGAGACCCGUGCCUUUAUUUGCCAUCAAGAAGUCACGACUUCGUUGGGAACGAUAAAGGGACUGCCGUCGAUAAGACGGAGGAAGGAGCGGGCAAAGGCAGGUCAGUAUGCCCCGAAACCCCUGGGCUACACGCGGGCUGCAAUGGUGCGAACAAUGGGCUGUGACUCCGACAGGAGAAACCAAUCCCGAAAUCGCAUCUCAGUUGGGAUUGUCAACUGUAACCCGUUGACAUGAAC
rnacentral:rRNA from 1 species